UCAUAACCAGGAGCAACAUCAGUUGUCAAAGGUCCAAGAGUGUAGAAAGGUGCUUCAUUGCACCAUUCUAGCUGUUUUUGCAUGUUCUCAGGGAUUUUGUGCAGUGGAAUAUGACCAGGUCCCUCAUUCAUCACCUGAAAAAGCACAUAAUUUCUGUCACCAAGAUACUGAAAACUUUUUUCUUUUUUGCAGUCUAGCACAAUUGAAAAAUGACAAACCCACUUUCUGAACAUAUGAUAAGCUUCUGCAUCCAUCUUUCUGAUGAAUACAUACAUCUCUAAUAUAAUUGGUCCAGAAAUCUGUUUUAUCAAUAUCACCAACUAUACUUAAAACAUGGCAACACAAUUUAUAAAAUUAGCUCCAUGCUAAAUUCAGAAAAAAUGCAGUGCAAACUUAACCAUAAGAUGUGAAGGAACAACAUAAAUUCGCUAGAAUAUGUAAACUAAACUUGGAAAUUGUACUUGUGCAGAACUUUCCCACUUGUUAUAUACAGAUAUCAUGAGAUCAGUAAAUUGGUAAAGCCAUUACCUGUACAUCCUUUUCCCAUGCUCUACGGGUCAGUUCCCCUUGAGUCAAGAGCUCUGCAAAUUGAGCAGAGUCAUUGGCAUCAUAUAUGGAACCAGGUCUCAGCCCAUCACCAAUUGACAGGGCAACAUCAUAUUGAUUACAGAUGUCAAGUAUGUCAUCCCAGUGGUCAUAAGCAAAAUUCUCCUUGUGGUAAGCCAAGCACCACUUUGCAUGA
rnacentral:lncRNA from 1 species